rnacentral:rRNA from 1 species
GCCGCGUGAGCGAAGACGGCCUUCGGGUUGUAAAGCUCUGUCAGGAGGGACGAAGCCACUCAGGUGAAUAGCCGAGAGGGUGACGGUACCUCCAGAGGAAGCCCCGGCUAACUACGUGCCAGCAGCCGCGGUAAUACGUAGGGGGCAAGCGUUGUCCGGAAUCAUUGGGCGUAAAGAGCGUGUAGGCGGCCAUCCAAGUCCGAUGUGAAAGCUCGGGGCUCAACCCCGAGUCUGCAUUGGAAACUGGGUGGCUAGAGUCCGGAAGAGGAGACUGGAAUUCCUGGUGUAGCGGUGAAAUGCGCAGAUAUCAGGAAGAACACCGGUGGCGAAGGCGGGUCUCUGGGACGGUACUGACGCUGAGACGCGAAAGCGUGGGUAGCAAACAGGAUUAGAUACCCUGGUAGUCCACGCUGUAAACGAUGUUCACUAGGUGUUGGGGGUAUUGACCCUUCCAGUGCCGCAGCUAACGCAUUAAGUGAACCGCCUGGGGAGUACGGUCGCAAGAUUAAAACUCAAAGGAAUU